rnacentral:tRNA from 1 species
GGCCCCUUAGCUCAGUGUUAGAGCUGGCGACUCAUAAUCGCACGGUCACCGGUUCAAGUCCGGUAGGGGCCACCA